rnacentral:rRNA from 1 species
UACGUAGGGGGCUAGCGUUGUCCGGAAUCAUUGGGCGUAAAGCGCGUGUAGGCGGUCCGGUAAGUCCGCUGUGAAAGUCGGGGGCUCAACCCUCGGAUGCCGGUGGAUACUGUCGGGCUUGAGUACGGAAGAGGCGAGUGGAAUUCCUGGUGUAGCGGUGAAAUGCGCAGAUAUCAGGAGGAACACCAGCAGCGAAGGCGGCGCUCUGGGCUGGAACUGACGCUGAGGAGCGAAAGCGUGGGUAGCAAACAGG